GCGGGGUUAGUAUACCGGUAGUACGUCACCUUGCCAAGGUGAAAGAGCGAGUUCGAUUCUCGUACCCCGCU
rnacentral:tRNA from 1 species